AUUGUAUGUAUGAUUUAUAAUUACUCUCGAACGUAUCAUCUGGGUUCCCGUGUUGUGAUUGAAGUUAGAGGAACUAGAAGGGUCAAAGGUUAUAUGAAGACACU